AUGUGUGGGAUACUGGCUGUGUUGGGAUGCUCGGAUGAUUCACAGUCGAAGAGGGUUCGCGUGCUCGAGCUCUCCCGCAGGUUAAAGCAUCGUGGUCCAGAUUGGAGCGGAUUGCACCAGUUUGGAGAUUGUUUUCUAGCACAUCAGCGGCUAGCAGUCAUCGAUCCUGCUUCCGGUGAUCAGCCUCUUUAUAACGAGGACAAAUCCAUUGUGGUGACGGUCAAUGGAGAGAUUUACAACCAUGAAGAACUGAGGAAAAGGUUGCUUAAUCACAAGUUCAGGACAGGGAGCGACUGUGAAGUUAUUGCCCAUCUGUAUGAGGAAUAUGGAGACAGUUUUGUUGACAUGCUGGAUGGAAUGUUCUCAUUUGUGUUGUUGGACACACGCGACAGCAGUUUCAUUGCUGCCCGAGAUGCAAUUGGCAUCACUCCGCUCUACAUUGGCUGGGGCCUCGAUGGUUCUGUUUGGAUAUCGUCCGAGAUGAAAGGACUGAAUGAUGACUGUGAACAUUUUGAGGUCUUCCCUCCUGGCUGUCUGUACUCCAGCAAGGAAGGCAGCUAUAAGAGAUGGUAUAACCCACCCUGGUACUCAGAGACUAUUCCAUCAGUCCCAUAUGACCCCCUUGCUCUGAGGAAGGCCUUCGAAAAUGCCGUCAUUAAGAGACUCAUGACAGAUGUUCCAUUUGGAGUUUUGUUAUCUGGUGGCCUUGAUUCAUCACUGGUUGCUGCUGUCACUGCACGCCACUUAGCGGGAACCAAAGCGGCGGAGCAUUGGGGGACUCAGCUCCAUUCCUUCUGUGUUGGCUUAGAGGGCUCACCAGAUUUGUUGGCAGCAAGGGGGGUUGCUGAUUAUUUGGGAACUGUCCACCAUGAGUUUCACUUCACUGUUCAGGAUGGUAUUGAUGCUAUCGAGGAUGUAAUCUAUCACAUUGAAACAUAUGAUGUCACUACAAUCAGGGCUAGCACCCCCAUGUUUCUUAUGGCUCGUAAGAUCAAGUCAUUAGGAGUGAAGAUGGUGAUCUCUGGAGAAGGCUCGGAUGAGCUCUUCGGAGGCUACUUAUAUUUCCACAAGGCACCAAACAAGGAAGAGUUCCACCGAGAGACAUGUCGCAAGAUAAAAGCUCUUUACCAGUAUGAUUGCUUAAGAGCUAAUAAAGCAACGUCUGCAUGGGGGCUGGAAGUUCGUGUGCCUUUCUUGGACAAGGAAUUCAUUAAUGUUGCUAUGAGCAUUGAUCCUGAAUAUAAAAUGAUCAAACCUGAUCAAGGCGAAUCGAGAAGUGGGUGUUGAGGAAAGCCUUUGAUGAUGAGGAAAAACCCUAUCUGCCAAAGCAUAUUCUCUAUAGGCAGAAGGAGCAGUUUAGUGAUGGUGUUGGCUACAGUUGGAUUGAUGGACUGAAGGCUCAUGCAGCUGAACAUGUGUCAGAUAAAAUGAUGCAAAAUGCACAGCAUAUAUACCCACACAAUACACCAGCCACGAAAGAGGCCUACUACUACAGAGUGAUCUUUGAAAGGUUUUUCCCACAGAAUUCUGCAAGAUUGACAGUCCCUGGCGGUCCAAGUGUCGCUUGCAGCACUGCCAAGGCUGUCGAGUGGGAUGCUCAGUGGUCGGACAGUCUCGAUCCCUCAGGAAGAGCUGCACUUGGUGUUCAUCUUUCAGCCUAUGAUCCACUUCUACCUACAUCUCGCGCCACUGGGAACACCCCUGCCAAGGUUGUCAACAAGAAGCCAAAGAUGGUAGAAGUGGCAACUCCAGGACACGCCAUUAGUACCUAAUUUCCUCUGGAGGAUAUAUAUGGUGCUUGAUUUCUAGGCAUAGCUUAAUGCAUUGUGUUAGUUGUGUCAUAUGAUAGUGACUAGCCCAUGUAAUCUUAGCAUUAGAGCAUGGUGUGGUAUUGGGAUGGCAAGAACCCUCUGAAAUUUGAAUGAAACAAUUAUAUGACCUUGUUUAGCCCUUCAUAAAUAAAAAUAAAGAAGCUGAUUCCAU